rnacentral:rRNA from 1 species
AUUGAACGCUGGCGGCAGGCCUAACACAUGCAAGUCGAACGGUAACAGAAAACAGCUUGCUGUUUCGCUGACGAGUGGCGGACGGGUGAGUAAUGUCUGGGAAACUGCCUGAUGGAGGGGGAUAACUACUGGAAACGGUAGCUAAUACCGCAUAACGUCGCAAGACCAAAGAGGGGGACCCUCGGGCCUCUUGCCAUCGGAUGUGCCCAGAUGGGAUUAGCUUGUUGGUGGGGUAACGGCUCACCAAGGCGACGAUCCCUAGCUGGUCUGAGAGGAUGACCAGCCACACUGGAACUGAGACACGGUCCAGACUCCUACGGGAGGCAGCAGUGGGGAAUAUUGCACAAUGGGCACAAUCCUGAUGCAGCCAUGCCGCGUGUAUGAAGAAGGCCUUCGGGUUGUAAAGUACUUUCAGCGGGGAGGAAGGGAGUAAAGUUAAUACCUUUGCUCAUUGACGUUACCCGCAGAAGAAGCACCGGCUAACUCCGUG